CUUGGAAAUGACGCUUCGGUUGAUUUUCCAAGCGGACAGCGGCGGACGGGUGAGUAACGCGUAGGCAACCUGCCCCUGACAGAGGGAUAGCCAUUGGAAACGAUGAUUAAAACCUCAUGACACCGUAGUAGCACAUGCUCCAUCGGUCAAAGAUUUAUCGGUCAGGGAUGGGCCUGCGUCUGAUUAACUGGUUGGUGAGGUAACGGCUCCCAAGGUGACGAUCAGUAGCCGACCUGAGAGGGUGAUCGGCCACAUUGGAACUGAGACACGGUCCAAACUUCUACGGAAGGCAGCAGUAGGGAAUCUUGCACAAUGGGCGAAAGCCUGAUGCAGCAACGCCGCGUGAAGGAUGAAGGCCUUCGGGUUGUAAACUUCUGUUCUAAGGGAAGAAAGA
rnacentral:rRNA from 1 species